rnacentral:rRNA from 1 species
AGGAUGAACGCUAGCUACAGGCUUAACACAUGCAAGUCGCGGGGCAGCAUGUCGGUUGCUUGCAACCGAUGAUGGCGACCGGCGCACGGGUGAGUAACGCGUAUCCAACCUGCCCUUCACCACGGAAUAAUCCAGUGAAAAUUGGUCUAAUACCGUAUGAGGUCAUACGAUGGCAUCAGAAUAUGACGAAAGGUUUGGCGGUGAAGGAUGGGGAUGCGUCUGAUUAGCUUGUUGGUGAGGUAACGGCUCACCAAGGCGACGAUCAGUAGGGGUUCUGAGAGGAAGGUCCCCCACAUUGGAACUGAGACACGGUCCAAACUCCUACGGGAGGCAGCAGUGAGGAAUAUUGGUCAAUGGGCGAGAGCCUGAACCAGCCAAGUAGCGUGCAGGAAGACGGCCCUAUGGGUUGUAAACUGCUUUUAUAUGGGGAUAAAGUGAGUUACGUGUAGCUUAUUGCAGGCACCAUAUGAAUAAGGACCGGCUAAUUCCGUGCCAGCAGCCGCGGUAAUACGGAAGGUCCAGGCGUUAUCCGGAUUUAUUGGGUUUAAAGGGAGCGUAGGCCGCCCCUUAAGCGUGUUGUGAAAUGCCGCGGCUCAACCGUGGCACUGCAGCGCGAACUGGGGGGCUUGGGUGCACGCAACGCAGGCGGAAUUCGUGGUGUAGCGGUGAAAUGCUUAGAUAUCACGAAGAACUCCGAUUGCGAAGGCAGCUUGCGGGGGUGCGACUGACGCUGAAGCUCGAAGGUGCGGGUAUCGAACAGGAUUAGAUACCCUGGUAGUCCGCACAGUAAACGAUGGGUGCCCGCUGUGUGCCUUCAUGGUACGCGGCCAAGCGAAAGCGUUAAGCAUCCCACCUGGGGAGUACGCCGGCAACGGUGCAACUCAAAGGAAUUGACGG